UAUUUUGGUGGCUGAGAAUAGCAAUAGAUUGUAAAUCUAUGCACAUAAGUAGUCACUUAUCCGUUUUAA
rnacentral:tRNA from 1 species